rnacentral:lncRNA from 1 species
AUGGAAGCUGAGACUACUCAGGGAUUGUGAUACCAUUCCAGCUUGCUCUCCUAGAAGGGCUCUGGCUCAUUCUUUCGCAGUUCCUGUCUUUACUGAAAACCAGAAGGUGCUGUAUUGCUACUCCAGGAUUUCUAAAGAGACCCAGCUAAUUACAAGGGGAAGGGUUGGAGCCAGGAAAAAAAUCAACAACAAAUGGAACAAAGAUUGCGAAAGGAUCAGGAUGGAAUAAGUUUAAAUGGUCUGUAGCAACUUUUUGGUCAUGCUGUUACUGUUAGAGAGAAGAAAAGAUGUUUGGAAUAUUGGAGGAGGCAACAAAGACAACGGAUUUAAGAUUAAUCAAGCGAGUGGAAGUCACAUUCGCAAGAAAUGAACCGGAAGUGGCUCAGCUGCUUUUCAACAUUGCAGAUACAGAAACAGAACCACAGAAAUGAAGGUAAUACCCACAGAAAUUUUGAAAA